rnacentral:rRNA from 1 species
AUGAACGCUGGCGGCGUGCCUAAUACAUGCAAGUCGAGCGAACAGACGAGAGUGCUUGCACUCUCUGACGUUAGCGGCGGACGGGUGAGUAACACGUGGGUAACCUACCUAUAAGACUGGGAUAACUUCGGGAAACCGGAGCUAAUACCGGAUAAUAUUUAGCUUCGCAUGAAGCAAUAGUGAAAGACGGUUCUGCUGUCACUUAUAGAUGGACCCGCGGUGUAUUAGCUAGUUGGUGAGGUAACGGCUCACCAAGGCAACGAUACAUAGCCGACCUGAGGGGGUGAUCGGCCACACUGGGACUGAGACACGGCCCAGACUCCUACGGGAGGCAGCAGUAGGGAAUCUUCCGCAAUGGACGAAAGUCUGACGGAGCAAUGCCGCGUGAGUGAAGAAGGUUUUCGGAUCGUAAAACUCUGUUGUAAGGGAAGAACAAGUACGUUAGUAACUGAACGUACCUUGACGGUACCUUACCAGAAAGCCACGGCUAACUACGUG